UGGGGAAUCUUGCGCAAUGCGCGAAAGCGUGACGCAGCAACGCCGCGUGGGGGAAGACGGCCUUCGGGUUGUAAACCCCUUUCAGGAGGGACGAAGGUUCACCGGUGAAUAGCCGUGUGGAUUGACGGUACCUCCAGAAGAAGCUCCGGCUAACUACGUGCCAGCAGCCGCGGUAAUACGUAGGGAGCAAGCGUUGUCCGGAAUCAUUGGGCGUAAAGCGCGCGUAGGCGGCCCUGUAAGUCCGUUGUGAAAGUCAAAGGCUCAACCUUUGAAAGCCGAUGGAUACUGCAGGGCUAGAGUCCGGAAGAGGCGAGUGGAAUUCCUGGUGUAGCGGUGGAAUGCGCAGAUAUCAGGAGGAACACCAAUAGCGAAGGCAGCUCGCUGGGACGGUACUGACGCUAAGGCGCGAAAGCGUGGGGAGCGAACA
rnacentral:rRNA from 1 species